rnacentral:rRNA from 1 species
GGCGCACGGGUGAGUAACGCGUGGGAACCUACCUUUUAGUACGGGACAACGUUUGGAAACGAACGCUAAUACCGUAUACGCCCUCCGGGGGAAAGGUCAGCCGCUGAAAGAGGGGCCCGCGUCUGAUUAGCUUGUUGGUAAGGUAACGGCUUACCAAGGCUACGAUCAGUAGCUGGUCUGAGAGGAUGAUCAGCCACACUGGGACUGAGACACGGCCCAGACUCCUACGGGAGGCAGCAGUGGGGAAUAUUGGACAAUGGGGGCAACUCUGAUCCAGCAAUGCCGCGUGUGUGAUGAAGGCCCUAGGGUUGUAAAGCACUUUCAACGGUGAAGAUGAUGACGGUAGCCGUAGAAGAAGCCCCGGCUAACUUCGUGCCAGCAGCCGCGGUAAUACGAAGGGGGCGAGCGUUAUUCGGAAUUAUUGGGCGUAAAGGGCUC